rnacentral:rRNA from 1 species
UACCAGCACCCCGAGUGUUCGGGACGAUUAUUGGGCCUAAAGCAUCCGUAGCCGGUCAUGCAAGUCUUCCGUUAAAUCCAGCCGCUCAACGGUUGGGCUGCGGAGGAUACUACGUGGCUAGGAGGCGGGAGAGGCAAGCGGUACUCAGUGGGUAGGGGUAAAAUCCUUUGAUCCAUUGAAGACCACCAGUGGCGAAGGCGGCUUGCCAGAACGCGCUCGACGGUGAGGGAUGAAAGCUGGGGGAGCAAACCGG